CAACCUUGAGCAGCAAACAAGCAGCUGGCUCUUGUCUUUGCUGCUGGUACCUCGCCUGCCUCCUCUCUCUCUGAGUGAGUGUGUGUGUCUGCUCCCACCAUCCAUUCAACCACAGAUCUCCAGCAUCCACAGUUGUUUGUUUUAAAAACUCAAUCAAAUCAAUUGAACACUAUUGUCAAAGCUCUGCAAAUUAUUCUUCCUUUCCAAGUAUACGUUCGAUGCCCUAUUGGAGGCUGUCAUCGAAUCUACUUCCAACGCACUCUCAGAAACCCAAAUGAGCAUCAUAUGCAAAAACGAAAAUGGCCACCUUUCACCACCGAUGACCAGAAGUUCAUUGACCUUAACGUGGAGCCUAUCAAGGUCAAUAAGGGUCUACGAGUUCAGAUGUGUGCCUUCUGGAACCAGUUCCUCCCCAGGCUCCUCAAUGCCACAGGAACCAUUGAUGAGGCUGAACGUCAGUGGAAGAUGGAAUUUCAUCGAUGGAGCUCCUACAUGAUGCAUUGGAAGAAUCAGUUUGACCAUUACAGCAGGCAGGAGCGUUGUGCGGACCUGUGACCACCCCACCUCCCUGCACUUCAGGUUGAGCGGUGAGGCAGACAGCAGAAUCCAAAAAUGACCAGCCACCCAGUCUAGUUCCUAGCAUGCCCCUCUGUGCCCACUGUAAAACUUUGCCAGUAUGAGUAUCAUCUAAUGGUGCUCACCCUUCCAAGGCCUGCUCACAGGAUUUGCUUCAGUCUUGCAAAUCUCACCAUCGUCCAUAAAUCUUUCAAUGCGUCGCAAUUGGUCAUUUCUGCUGACAUGUUCCUCCCCUCUCCUCCACCCGCAUCAACCCACUCCCCUCGCCAUGCUCUCAUUUUCACCUCUCCAUUCCCCGCUGUUGUCCUCUCCUAAGACUCUCCAUGUCCACGUGGCCUAUGAGGAUACUUUGAGCCAUGAGUUUAGGCAAGACUCCACCCCCUUUGUGCCAUUAAUCCAGUGAAUCAGCCCAAGUCAAUUAAACUAGGUUUUUGAGUUUAUUGUAGCCGAAGCUGGUUUUCAGAACACUGCGAAUGAUGUCCACAAUUGAGAUUUGCAUUCAUAAAGUCUAGAACAAAAUCCUAAGAUGCUUCGCAGUGGAAAAAAAAGUUAAAUAAUGGUGGUCAAGGUUAAUAACAACAUUUAACAAGCCAAUAAUCUGCUCGGCCUUGACACUGAACUUGAAUUGGGAUAGUUUUGCAUUCCCCAGCACUUGAACUGACUGUAUAGCUACACAGCAGAUUUUUUUUUUUUGACAGUUUCAACUGAGCUUGUUCAUCUUAUUGACUGAUCAAGGCUGAAAAUCUAUUCCUAGCAUUUCCUCUUUCCUGGUGUAUUUGGGUUAAAAUUGCUGCCAGAAGCUGCCACAGCACUCUUAGCUCUAGAUCAGAAAGUUAUGGAAUCAAGUCCCAAUCCAGAGACUUGAAUUCACAAGUUAGACUGCAUUCCUGAGGGAGCAUUACACUACUGCGAGUGUCAUUUUUCAGAUGAUUCACAAAACUGAGGUUCUAUCAUCUCUUCUCUCUAUUAAAAGAACCCGUGGACACUAUUUAAAAAGAGAGCUGGGCUUGAGAAAAGAACCCCCCCAACCCCUUAACUGGCAUCUCCCCCACCACACCAUAACACAUCGGAGCAGAAGUAGGCCAUUCAAUGAGAUCAUGGUUGAUCUGCUAAUCCUCAAUUCCAUUUUCUUGUCUUGUUUCCACAACCUUCGAUUCCCUUACUGAUUAAAAAGUCUGUCUAUUUCAGCCUUGAAUAUUCUCAAUGACCUAGUCUUGACAGCCCUCUCUAUGGUAAAGAAUUCCAUAUUCACUAACCUCAAGAAACUCAUCUGCCUUAAAUGGGUGACCCCUUAUAAGAAUACAUUGAUAAAUAUACAUUUCCAAAACAACUGGGAGUACAGAACUGCGAAUCGCAGGCCCUUUAAGAGUGAGGUUGUUGAGAACCUCAAUGCCUCCCACCUGCAAUCAAACACCAUUGUCAAGAAAGACUACCCCUCCCAUAUAUUGCACCAUUUCAUCGUGUAUCGAAAGCAUUCUUGAUACUUAUGCUGCCUUCACUCACUGGAAUUGUGCAAAGUUAACUUGUGGACGAAUGCACUAGAACCGGCAUAUCUGUGGAUCCCUGCUGACACCCCACUGUACCACUGAAUUGAAACUGACUGUUCCUUGAACUUCCCUGUGAAAGAUACAUUGCUCCAAGAUAUAUAUCGUAAAAUUAUUUAUUUAAGUAAGUGUUUUUUUUUUGUCUUUUUUUGUAAGCGGUAGUAUCUGAUGUGUUUUGGGGUUCUUGAUGUAUUAUGUUCACAGUAGCAACAUAAUACAAUAGAUUUAAACAAGGAUAGAGGAGAAGAUGAUGAAAAUAAGGACAGAACAUGUUACUCAAAUGAGGACUGAAUAAUAUCCAUGCAUCCUGGUCCAAUAAUCCCCAAACCUGACACUACACCAAGAACUAUACUUAUGACUUCCAGUAUGAAUUUGCACAGGCUAUCGACAUCCCAAGUGGGUCAUCUCACUGUUGACUUUGGAGUCAGAAGUUGAGUUUACAUGCUACUUCACAACACAAUACAGCAUUAGUGAACUGCACUGUUAGAGAUCCCAGCUUGCAGAUGAAACAUUAAAGUGUUAUCAGGGCUAUUAUUUCUAAGAGGAAUGGUUGUUUUCUCAAUAUCCUGCCCAUCAUUUAGCCCUCACUCACCAGUAUCUCAUUGUUGUUUGUAGGAGUGUGCUCAAAUUAGCUGUCAUAUUUCCAUGCAUUUCAGGUGUUCUUCCUAUGUAGUGAGCCAGUUUGGCACAUUGAGGAUGUGAAAUGCAAUGUAUAAAUGUAAGGUUCUUUCUUUUAACUACUAGAUAAGCAAAUACUUAAGUCCCAGUAUGUACGACAAGCAUUUGAAAGCACCAUAUCUUAAAUCUAACUGGCACCAGUAAUAUAUUCAUACAUUAAUUCAGUUGAUGUUUUAAAAUUAAGAAACAGCACUUUAGAAAUACUUUUAAAAUAGAGAGAGAAACCCAUUUAUCUUCCACCCUUAACAACCAGGCCAGUCCCCAUGGGAGAAUUGAAAAUUUGCAAGCAGUCCCCAGUAGUGAGAUUUUCUUCAACUACAACCAAGCUGCUAUUGUUACUUAAACCAAGGUAAUAGUGUGUAAAAUACAGGCUUGUAAUAAUAAGACAAAGCUAUUGCCAGAAGCAUUAUCAGGUAUGACCAUAACUGAAAUAAAUUUCAGUACGGGCCACUGACAUUUCAGGCAGUCCCAGUGUUUUGACUCAGUGACAAUAAAAGGGAACAGGCAAUAUGCGUACAAGUCAGGAUUGGUGUGCACGCAAACUAAAGGGAAGUCUGGAAUACAUGAUGUUACCAUGAGGCUGCUGUUCUUGUCCAUCAAAGUAUUAGAGGGCACAGGCUUAGGACGUGCUAUUGGAGAAGCCUGGAAAUACUUGAACCUGGAGGAUGGUGAUGGGACUGGAAAAAGGACAUAGUAAAUUUUUUAAGUGAGCCAUUUUAAAAGGGAAGGAGGGGAGAAAUGUGUGUACAAAGUCAAGGUAGUAGGACAGAAUGAGGAAGGGAUUAAAAAGGCACACUAAAUGUUCAGUUCAUAAAUAGAAGUAUUGAAUAGGAAAGCAAAUCUAUGAUGAACCUCCAAACUACUCUAGCCUAAUUCUGGACACUAUAUUGUAGGAAGAAUGUGGAAGUUUCAAAAUGAUGUAGGAAAUAUUUAUAAUAGUUCAAGUAAUAAGAACCUUAGGUUACAUGAAUAAAUUAAGGAGAAUCCCAAAUUCUCAAAAAGGCAGGACAGAAUAAACAGAGAAAUUGUUUCCCUUGGUGGAAGAAUCAAGAACCAAAACGAAGAUUAAGGUGAUUGACAAAGGAAUUAAAAUCAGCAAGUGGUCAGGAUCUGGAAUGCAUAGCUCUAGGAGGCAGUAGAGGCAGAUUCAACCAUGAGUUUCAAAAGGAAAGUGAGUAAGCAGCUGAAGGCAAUAAUUUUGCAGGACCAUGGGCAAAGGGACUAGCUACAUAGCUCUUGCAAAAGUCAGCAGACUUGAUAGCCUUCUACUGUGCUGUAUCCAUGCUGUCAUUCUAAGACAGCAUCUCUAUGUUCAACUUCUUUACAUUGGAAUGAAGGAGUUCUGCCAGUGAAAUCCCACUGACACCCACAUCAGAUAUUGCCCCUUCUAUUAAAGUAUUCAGUCAAGGCAUUGUAUAUUAAGCAUGUAAAGUGAAUGUAUAUUGUUAUGAUGCAAAUAAUUGUGCACUUUUCAAUAGAUUUAUUCUAUUAAUAAACAGAUGAUGAACUGUUCUUCAA